UGAGAACGGGCAAUGGUCGUGGGCCGGCUGGACACUGACGCUAUUCAAAGACUUUCUCAAGUUAUGAGUGUUUGGCGCGGCCCUUGGCUCUCAGGGGCUGGGGGCUCAUUGCCACCUCACCAGCACCCAGAAUGCCACACGGGCGGCCGUGGGUACAAUACACGGUAGGCGUGAAAGAGAGAAACGUCUCUUCCUUCUGCAAUGGGAUUUUCCCACGGACCUUCCACACCCUUUGAGAAGUUCUGGCGGGCCUCUCUACUCUAUUACGACCCACAGGGUGAGCUUCGGUUCACAAAGCUUUUUCAUGUGAGUUAUUCAUUUCCUUCUCACAUCAACCCUGGAAAGUAGAGGGAUUUAUUCCUGUUUUACAGAUGAGGAAAGUGAGGCUCAGAGAGGUGAAGUCACUCGAGGCCCUCAGCUAGGAGGUGCCACAGGCAAGCUGUGAACUGGCUCUCUGGUUCUUUUCCUACCUUACCCCUCUCGCCCUUCAGCCAGGCUUCCUCCUGCCUCAAACACGGAGGGUCUUUGACCCUUUGACUCGUAAAAGCAUCAUGUUUACACUUCUAUUCCCUCUCUCUCCUUCACUUCAAGGGAGGAAGCAUGGUGCAGUGAAAAGGGCGUCAGAGGACCCAGUUCUUGGACCUGGGCAAACUCACCUUUGAGUUUGGGCCUCAGUUUCUGCAUCUGAGAAUAGGGUGCGCAACCUGAUGAUGUCCUUGGUUCCUCUUGAGUUUCCAAGCUCUGAGCCUCCAAAACUCUCCUGCUGCUUCCGCACUUGUGUUCUCAAUCCUUACAGUGCCGCCUCCCACACCAUCAGGGAAAAUGCCCUCUUUGAGCUCAACAAAGAUUUCCUUCUCCCCAACCUGAGGGCCUUUGGCCAAUGCUCAUCUCUCUACCCAAUUCUCUGCAGCCUGUGACAUGUGACAUCUCCUCCCUCCCGUCCUCUCUCCCACUUCAGAUUAUUCUUCCGCUUUUGGGCUCUUCUCUCAUUUAGAAAAAUGCCCACCUUCUAGCUUCAAAUUUUACUAUGUGCUCAAAAUCUCUAAAGCUACCACCUCAGGCACACAUUCUCCUCAGCGCUCCAGUCCACAUCUCUGUCUUCUGUUCCAUCAUACGCAAUAGGUUCCAUAUGUAAGAAACGCAGGAGGCAGUGUGCAGGAGUGGGCAGGAGCUCGGACCCUGGUCAGACAGACCCGAGUUAAAAUCCAGCCUGUACCACUUACUGCCCCUGUGGUUUGUGGCAAAUGGCUUAACCUCUGGCCUCAGGUCUUCACCCCUGAGCUGGUAUAAUGAUAAUGCUGACUCUGCUGGAUUGUAAUGAGAAUUCCAGGAGACAAGGCAAAGGUUUUCACCUAGGGCCUGACACAUAAUCAGCCCUCAAGGAAGGCUGUUAUCUUUCCCUCACGCAUGACUAGUUUCCUCCUAAAUCUGCUCCUUUUUGUUAGCAGAACUAUCCCCAAAGUCUCACCCUAGUGCAGCAGCAGCAGCCUUUUCCGUGUCUCUCAGAUGUCUAUGUGUGUCACUGCUGCCGCCCAGGCGAGGCCCGACCUCCCCAGGCUGGAGCGCGUGCUCUCUCCCGCCCCUGCCAGUCUCUGCACUGCCCGGGAGCAUGGGCACCUCCCCCGGGCCCUCUGCCCACCCAGCCCUCCUGCUCACUGGUGUCACCAAAACGCAGCCUUCUCCUCCAGUCUCACCACGGUGCUGAAGCCCUCAGUGGCCGCCCUCAGCCAAGGCCUCCGCCUUGGCUCUGGCAGUCCCUCGGAUGGAACCUCUGUCCCACCCUGAUCCACCCUUUCCCACCGUCACUGUCCUAGGUGCCAUUAUGCAUGCAGAAAUGAACGUGGCAGGCUCUCACGCCUCAAGAAAAACAAUCAGAAAGAUGGUACAUAGCGCAAGGUAUAAUGGGACAAAUGCCAUAAUCAAGAGUUGUGGGAGCUUUGCAGGGGGUGGGGGACAGUGAGGCCCAGAGGUCAAGAGCGCCGACUCUGGGAUCAGAAGGACUUGGGGGUCAAACCCCAAAAAACUCCUCCACUGCCAUAUAUGAUACCUGUCUAUUUUAAAGCUCUGCAUGGCACGCACCACUGUCUGGGGUUCCCUUCUUUGUUUGUUUACCGGACCCCUCCUCCCCACUAGAAUGUAAGCUUCACGAAGCAGAGGCCGUGCUGUGCUGUUCAUCGUUACAUUCUCAGCGCCUAGAUCAGGGCUGGGCAGUAGCAGGAGCAGAAGAAACACUUAGUGAGUGUACAAGUGAAUAAAAGAAAUCCUACCUCUGUCACUUUAGAGGUAUAGACACUCAGGCCAAUUGUUUAACCCCUCAGAACCUCGGUUUCUUCAUUUGUGAAUGGAGAUGAUAAGAGCUGGAGUCCUACAGGGGCUGAGGAUGCUCACCUCAUAAUAAGUGAGGUCACUUAUGUGAGCACCUAGCACAGGGCCAGCAACUCGGUAAAUGCCCACUAAAUGUCAGCUGGCGGCACUGUUUACCUGUGGAACCGGCACCAGUGGAUCCAUUACAGGAAGGAACAGCCCUUGAGCCCCCUCAGCCCCCUGAAGGGAACCUUCCUGAGCCCACCACUCUGACUUAGAAUCACUUCCUCCUCAGGUGUUCCCAUACUUGCCGGUUUGGCGACACUUAUCUCAGCCAGAGGCUUUGAGCCAUCGCGGGCAUGGACAGUGUCUGCUCUGCCAGACUCUCCCCACCAGGCUUUGUGACGUGGCUGCCACGGCACGCCAGGUUGAAGGGCACAGCCCUCAGAGGCAGCCUGGAUUCUUGCCUGCCUCUGCUACUUACUAGCUGUGUGGUUUUGGGUAAAUCAGCGAUUUCUCCUUUCUGAGCUUCAGUUUCCUUUUUGGCAAAAAUGGGGAAGUGAAUAGUACUUUCCCCACAGAUUGUUGGGAAAAUUUUGUGAGAUGAUGCUUACAAAGUGCUCUAGCGCCAGGGCCUGGUACCUAGAAGUGGCCAUUCAGCGGUGGCCGUGUUUAUUCUAACUGCAGGAGGGCUAACGGCAGUGGGAAAGGCGGAACUGGACGGCUUUGAGUUUAGAGGUGACUCCGACAGGGGAGACAGAAGUGGGACGCUCGUGACCCCGCUCGGCUUGUUGUGUUUCCUCGUGAUUAGAAGCAGUUUAUUCCGAAUUGCAACUACGAUCCUCAGCUCUCUGCUAUGUAAAAUCUGGGCAGUCUGAGAAAAAGAUUAAUUGAACAGAAACCACCAAAAUACGAAGAAUCGAGCCACCUUUUGUCUUCUCGAGCUUGUUCUCUCUGCACUCACACUUGCUCUUCACAGCCUGUUUGCCCUCGAUGCCCUUCUGCACAGCGCUCAGCCUGAAGACAAAGAGGCGGGCGUCUUUUCCUGGUGAAGACAAAGCAGAUGGAGGAGGAGAUGAAGGGAAAAGUAAAAUGACCUGGAAGAGCUGAAAGAGCAGACUGUGUGGGAAAACUGCUGCUAGGGGAAUUAGGAUUUGGAAUGUUCUAGAAUUCAAGAGAAACUCCACACUGCCUUGACCUAACAGUGCAUUUAAGGAUGCCCCCACUUCUCUCCCUCAUCGUCCCCUCCUCAGAGAACAAAUAGGCCACCCAGGAACCCUGAGCACUGGGCACCAGGAGAAGAAACAGCUGGCACAACCCAUGGAAUCAGACCCCCACGACCCUCAGUGUCGGCCGCAGAAGGCUGCAUGCUUUCCUCCCUCCAAGAGAUCACCGCCGGAGGGGG